rnacentral:rRNA from 1 species
AUGCAUCCGGUUUUUUCGUGGUACGGCUGCCGAAUUAUAGGACUUGUGUCUGAUCUUGAUGGUGGUUACUCUGAAUCUGGAUUGCUUCCUCCGGACAGCUGCUUCCCUAUAUGGCUGGAGGGGAAGAAGACGAUCAAUCCGUUGUCAAAUCAUGUGCUCCACAUUUUUCCUUGUCAGGGAUAUGCAUCAAGAGCUACAUCAGGAGGGGGCAAUUUGUUCUACAGGCAUUAUGUAAUUUAUUAUUGUGAUAUAAUUGGAUUGCCAUGUCAGUUAUCAGUUAAAUAUGGAGGCGCUGACUGCAGAAUGAGAAGUGACCCAAUAAUUUUUUCUUUCAAAGGUUUCUUUGAAUACCUAGUUCUUUUUGAAAGGCUCUAG